rnacentral:rRNA from 1 species
UUGGAGGGCAAGUCUGGUGCCAGCAGCCGCGGUAAUUCCAGCUCCAAUAGCGUAUAUUAAAGUUGUUGCAGUUAAAAAGCUCGUAGUUGGAUUUCGGGGUCAGUAGGUUGGUCAUGCCACUGGUAUGUACUGGUCUCACUGAUUCCUCCUUCCUGAUGAACUGUAAUGCCAUUUAUUUGGUGUUGCAGGGAAUCUGGACUGUUACUUUGAAAAAAUUAGAGUGUUUAAAGCAGGCUAACGCCUGAAUACAUUAGCAUGGAAUAAUGAAAUAGGACGUUCGAUCCUAUUUUGUUGGUUUCUAGGAUUGACGUAAUGAUUAAUAGGGAUAGUUGGGGGCAUUAGUAUUCAAUUGUCAGAGGCGAAAUUCUUGGAUUUAUUGAAGACUAACUACUGCGAAAGCAUUUGCCAAGGAUGUUUUCAUUAAUCAAGAACGAAAGUUAGGGGAUCGAAGACGAUCAGAUACCGUCGUAGUCUUAACCAUAAACUAUGCCGACUAGGGAUCGGAUGAUGUUAAUUUUUUAAUGACUCAUUCGGCGCCUUACGGGAAAC